rnacentral:rRNA from 1 species
AUGAAGCUGGAUUCGCUAGUAAUCGCGCAUCAGCCACGGCGCGGUGAAUACGUUCCCGGGCCUUGUACACACCGCCCGUCAAGCCAUGGGAGCCGGGGGUGCCUGAAGUUCGUUACCGCAAGGAUCGACCUAGGGCAAAACUGGUGACUGGGGCUAAGUCGUAACAAGGUAUC